GAUCAGAUGGCCCUGUGCCUGAACUUGAGACAUCAUUACAGAAGCCUCCAGAAUCUUGCUUAUCCUGGCAUUCUUCAUUAAUCUGAGGUGUCUGUCUCCCUCUCCUCCUCAGCCAGACUUUGCAAACCUGCCCUGAAAGCAAACGAUGCCUUUCCUCGGCAGCUCACCUGCGGCCUCUGCAAUGCCCGUGGGCUGACUCCACUUGAUGGGCAUCGCCCAGGAAAGGAAAUGUCCCAACAUGAAAAAUGGUGGACUUGGAAUGUGACUUCACAGCUCAUGUACUCACUACAGUGUUUCCCCUGGACUGUAAGAGACCAAUGGCUUCAUCUCCUCAGUCUAUCCAGAUGUUUGUUCUCUUCCAUGGCAAUUGAGUGGCUGCACCCCCCAGGCCCCCUUGCUGUUAAUGCUCACAUUCUUUAUACAUUGGACUCUGAUUUUGAUCCUAGACCUUCUUUUGCAAUAGCAUUAGAAGACCACUGUGGAGAAUGGAGAUUUCUGUGGAAAUAUCAUCAAGACCCAAAAGUUUAGGCCCUGUUCUUCAGAAAUGUAUGCCUGGGUGAAUUGUGGCUUCCAAGG
rnacentral:lncRNA from 1 species